UACAGAGGUCUCAAGCGUUGUUCGGAUUCAUUGGGCGUAAAGGGCGCGUAGGCGGCCUGCUAAGUCGAACGUGAAAUCCCUGGGCUCAACCCAAGGAACUGCGUCCGAUACUGGGUUGGCUUGAAUCCGGGAGAGGGACGUGGAAGUUCCAAGGUGUAGCGGUGAAAUGCGUAGAUAUCUGGAGGAACACCGGUGGCGAAGGCGACGCCUGGACCGGCAUUG
rnacentral:rRNA from 1 species